rnacentral:rRNA from 1 species
AAUCAGUUAUGGUUCCUUAGAUCGUUCAUACUACAUGGAUAACUGUGGUAAUUCUAGAGCUAAUACAUGCAAAAAGCUCCGACCGUAUGGGAAGAGCGCUUUUAUUAGACCAAAACCAAUGGGGUCGCAAGACUCCUUUGUAUGGUGACUCUGGAUAACUUUGUGCUGAUCGCAUGGCCUAGAGCCGGCGACGUAUCUUUCAAGUGUCUGCCCUAUCAACUUUCGAUGGUAAGCGAUUUGCCUACCAUGGUUGUAACGGGUAACGGGGAAUCAGGGUUCGAUUCCGGAGAGGGAGCAUGAGAAAUGGCUACCACAUCUACGGAAGGCAGCAGGCGCGCAAAUUACCCACUCCUAGAACGGGGAGGUAGUGACGAAAAAUAACAAUACCGGACUCAAUGAGGCUCGGUAAUUGAAAUGAGUACAGUUUAAAACCCUUAACGAGGAUCUAUUGGAGGGCAAGUCUGGUGCCAGCAGCCGCGGUAAUUCCAGCUCCAAUAGCGUAUAUUAAAGUUGUUGCAGUUAAAAAGCUCGUAGUUGGAUCUCGGGUACUAGCAUGUGGUACGCUUAAUUGCUGUUACUACAUGUCUGGUCCUAAUCAACCGGUUGGCCGUUGAUGUCCUUUAUUGGGUGUUUUCGGUAGCCGGUACGUUUACUUUGAGAAAAUUAGAGUGCUUAAAGCAGGCCUUACGCCUGAAUAAUGUUGCAUGGAAUAAUAGAAUAGGACCUCGGUUCUAUUUUGUUGGUUUUGUAGAGCAUUGAGGUAAUGAUUAAUAGGGAC